rnacentral:rRNA from 1 species
GCUAACUACGUGCAAGGAGCGGGGUUAAUACGUAGGGUGCAAGCGUUAAUCGGAAGUGCGGGGCGGAAAGCGUGCGCAGGCGGUUUUGUAAGUCUGUCGUGAAAGCCCCGGGCUCAACCUGGGAAUUGCGAUGGAGACUGCAAGGCUUGAAGCUGGCAGAGGGGGGUAGAAUUCCACGUGUAGCAGUGAAAUGCGUAGAGAUGUGGAGGAACACCGAUGGCGAAGGCAGCCCCCUGGGACAAGAUUGACGCUCAUGCACGAAAGCGUGGGGAGCAAACAGGAUUAGAUUCCCGAGUAGUC